GGUAGCUUACGUAACAAAGGGCCCGCCAGUAAUGUUGGCUUUUGUUUUCAUUUAAAAACAAAAGCUUGAUGACUAUCAAAUUGUUUGAUGGUUUUUUACCUAUUGGGGGUUAUAACUAACGCUUUGCUUUGACAUUUCAUACCAGAUGAUAAACUGUACACAUGCCAGUGUGGGCUUUGUGUUCAGAUUUUCUGAGGACAUUGAAUCACGGGUGAUAUGUCGUUACACUCAAAGCUUGAGUAGAGAAUUACAACAGCAGUUCUAAUAUACCAUAUCUGCGUAUUGUAAAACCCAUACGAUUCGCAACUAUUUCUAGUUGCUUAUAGAUUUAUCAUGAAGUACACAUGAACCGCAUUAUGAUAGUGAAUUUCUGGUGGGGCCGUGAAAAAGGAAAGCCAAAGACUCACGCAGUAAGGGCAGGGCUUCAAUUACCCUGUCAAUUGUAUUCACCGAAUGCUCAGCAAAGGCUCGUAAGCUAAACGUGUCGUAGCCAAGAGCCCACUCCAUUUGGCUGCCAAUGGAGUACCUGGCCGCUGAAGGCUGGAAAAGCUGCUCGUUUUAACAAGAAAAUUCCCAUCUCACCCCACGUCAUUUCAUUUGGCCAUUCCUAACGACGAAAAGUUGAACAAGCUUCUUUCUGUUACCAUCGCUGAUGAUGGUAUGCUUCCUCCACGCCGUUUCCCAACCAAAAUGAUCCUUUUAAUGGAAUACCAUACACCUUCGUAUUAAAUAAUCUCUAAAAUGGCCUGCUACUUAUCGAAUGCAAAUAUUAGGACUAUUUUGCGUUGAUUGUCUAUUGGCAAAAUACUAAUGGUCGACGUUUCUUAGUUUAAAUAUCCACAAUGUUUAUUGUAUGAGUUUUUAACAAUGCCUGCAAGACAACCACAACGAAAAAAAUUGUCUUUUCCCAAAUACCAAGUAGGCUAUAGCUGAAUUCUACCCUGUCGCAUUUAAGUACGAGCAUUCUUGUAUCAAGCACAAUACAGUUUUUAAAACGUCUUCAGUCAUUAUCACUAGAUGUCGUUAUGGAAAGACGUCGGGCUGGGAUUUGCGAUUUUGGGAGCGACAUGUGCUGUUCUUCUUGGUUGGUGCUGCAAAUUAUUUACUGGAUUCCUGCUCAUGCAUCUUUCAGCUCAAGCUCAGAGUAGUACAAGAUUGCUGAAGCAACUAAGAGUAAAAUAUAGUGCCGAUAUCAACAGAAGCUUCUGAGUAAUGGUGGAUUUGGGGUCUCACUGAAAUCCAAUUGGUUAACGUUUGUGGCAGAAGUGUGUUGGCUGGGAUAAAAGCAACCCUAACAAUGUUGGAGAUCCCUUUUGUCUUGCGGGAAGCAUUUACAUCUUUCAGGAAAAGAUUCAUGGGCAUGUAAAAAUAGAUUUCGACCGACACUUAAGUACAUCAAGGGAUGAAGGAAAAAGGGAAAGGCUGCCGAAUUGUCGAAUCAAAGAUUUGAUGCAUUAACUUCUGAUAGAUGAUGACACUAGAUAUUCACCUACAUCAUCUUGAAUUUUGAAAACAGUUGAAAACAGGAGAAAGGCAAUCCUAAAUAUCGGAGAUCCCUCUUUAACUCAAUAAAGGUUCAGGUGUCAUAAAUGGAAAAUGUGAUGCAAUUAAAGAAAAAGGUGAUAAGAUAUUGGAUUAGUGUUGGUAGCUGAACCAGUAUGGAAGUUACUUGUUCUUUCUUACCAACUUACUUGUGGACAGAAAUCAGUAAUCCUGAAAGGUGUUUUGAUUGAUCUAAAUUCCAUACAAACUAAUCUGUACUCCUAAUAUUUUGUAACAUGGAAUGCUGAUCAAUUAUCUGUGACGGGGAAUCACCUUGACAGCAUAAAUUGGCAAAAUAUUCCAGUUAAUGAGAAAUAUGUGUGAAGAAAUUUAGCAAAUCCAAUACUCUGGAAUCCUUGGAUAAAGCUCUUUGUGACAUAUGCUAUUCCUGAAAGUGGCAAUAUCCAACCAAAGUCAAGCAAGCAUAUGAACAAACAACUAUGGAAAGCAGUUAACCCAGGAACUAAAUCCAAAGAUAAACCUAUCAUGAAACACUUGCUUUAUAAACACCAUACUGCAUCUAGACACUUCGCCAUUCAACGAUUCUUUUUAAACGAGCUACAUUGGGCUUCAAUUGAAAAAACCUAAAGGAUGCCGUUGAUGACUUUAUCGGUGCCUGAAUCGUUAUGGGGGACAUGUUAUGGCCAUAGAAAAUUCCGCCUUGAGAAGAACAAAGAUGAUGGUGAUGGUUGACACUGUUUUAGCUAUGGGAACCUGAUAUUUGCAGGCCCCUCUUAUCAUCAAAGGGAAUAUUGAUGAUUCAAGUGUCUUUAAAUGUUACUAACAAAAUGUUAAUUGCGUUUUGUUAGUUUAUUGAAUUUUUUGUUUUGUUUUAGAAAUACCAUAAAACUGUCUCCCCACACCCGUACCCGUGAGGUUGCUUUAGCACAUAGAUGUCGUUGCGUUCUUGGACCAACUUGAGCUACGGGAUGGCGGUUGCAUAACUUGUCAAAGCAGCGUGCGUUUUAUUCUGCAUCCAGCUUAUCCAAAACGUUCGAUGGAUUGAAAAUCGAUCCUCCUCAACAUCCAUUGGUAGAUAACUAGUAUGGAAAUUCUGUGUUACCAACUUACUCCUGGAUAGGAAACAGUAGCACUUAAAGAUUGUAGACCGUUGAAUACUGAUCGGAGAUCUGUGGUUGGAAAUGUACUUGACAGCAUAAAUUAGCCAAAUAUCCUUGGAAUGAAAUACGUGUGAAGAAGUUUAGCAAAACCAAAACUCAAAGUUGCAUGACAGAAGUUAUUCCAUAUUCCACCAUUGUUUAUAUGUUUUGUAAUCGUCCAAGUCAACAGCAUGGUUCAUCUUGUUCAUUACUGUAGAAAUUAAGUUUGGACUUUGCUUUGCUAUCAAAUAACUUACUGUUUUGUUCUUUGAAAUUAUUAGGUCACCGUUACGAAGGAGAUUCUUCAAGUACCCGUUAUGCUCAACCAAGUCUUGGUAUGUUGAAAAAUCUGGGCAUCACAUAUUUCAUCAACAGCGUCUUGCAAAUAGAUAAUUCGCCAUUCAACGAUUCUUCUUUGGAAGAGCUGCAGUAGCCCCAAUUAAACAAAAAGAAUCUUCUAGGCAAUCAAAUUGUCGAAUCCAACGAAUGCCGUUUAUAACCUUAUUGGAGUCUGUAGUCGUUAUGGAGGAUUUGCUGCGGGUACAGCAAAGACCGUUUUGCGAAGAACGAGGAUGGUGGUGUUGGCAUUGUUUGGACGAUAGGCCAUAGGGGUAUUCUAGUCUUUACCAGCAGCCGUUUACAAGACGGAACACAAAGGGUCAAUCAGCAAAUUUGCGAAAAUGAUGGGGAUUCGAGUUUAUUGUAACCCAUGAUUGUACGCCUAUCAGUAUUAAUAUCUAUAUUCGUGCUAUGCUUCGUUUAGAGCGUAAAGGAACGCAUUUUGUUGUCUUAUGAUAUCACAAUUGAUGAGGUACUGGUCUUUACUGUACGGAAGGGUAUUGUUUUUUGUUUGUUUUGUUUCGUUUUUUGUUUGUUUGUUUUUUCUUUUCUUCUUCUUUUAACCCCAUUGCAAUUUUAAAAAUGUGACUGUUACGGUUUCGGGGUAGGUAGGUAAAAUCGGGGUUGAAUCGGUGCGAGAACUUGACGAUAAUGUUCUAGUAUAAACCGAUUGUUUGCGUUUGCCUUUGGGGCGAAAAAGUGUCAACCCUAUACGGAAAAUUCUUCCCCGACUUGUGAACCCCAAUUGCCUCGGGUAUUAUUGUAUAUCUAUGCCAUUUUAGCCUCAACUUUGUAUGUAAACGUAUUAUGAACCGACAAUAAAACUUUUUGCAAAAAAA